UCCUACGGGAGGCAGCAGUGGGGAAUAUUGGACAAUGGGCGAAAGCCUGAUCCAGCCAUGCCGCGUGUGUGAAGAAGGUCUUCGGAUUGUAAAGCACUUUAAGUUGGGAGGAAGGGCAGUAAGUUAAUACCUUGCUGUUUUGACGUUACCAACAGAAUAAGCACCGGCUAACUUCGUGCCAGCAGCCGCGGUAAUA
rnacentral:rRNA from 1 species